rnacentral:tRNA from 1 species
CCAGGCAGAGCUCAGUGGGAGAGCACGUGCUUAGCAUGCACGAGGCCCUGGGUUCCAGCCCCAGUACCUCCA